rnacentral:rRNA from 1 species
GAGUUUGAUCAUGGCUCAGGAUGAACGCUAGCGGCAGGCUUAAYACAUGCAAGUCGAGGGGUAACAGGGAGAGCUUGCUCUCCGCUGACGACCGGCGCACGGGUGCGUAACGCGUAUGCAACCUACCUCUAACUGGGGAAUAGCCCCGAGAAAUCGGGAUUAAUACCUCAUAAAAUUUAUCAUUCGCAUGUUUGAUAAAUUAAAGUUUCGACGGUUAGAGAUGGGCAUGCGUGACAUUAGCUAGUUGGUGAGGUAACGGCUCACCAAGGCAGCGAUGUCUAGGGGUUCUGAGAGGAUUUUCCCCCACACUGGUACUGAGACACGGACCAGACUCCUACGGGAGGCAGCAGUAAGGAAUAUUGGUCAAUGGACGAAAGUCUGAACCAGCCAUGCCGCGUGCAGGAUGACGGCCCUAUGGGUUGCAAACUGCUUUUGUAUAGGAAGAAACCUCACUACGUGUAGUGGGCUGACGGUACUAUACGAAUAAGCACCGGCUAACUCCGUGCCAGCAGCCGCGGUAAUACGGAGGGUGCAAGCGUUAUCCGGAUUUAUUGGGUUUAAAGGGUGCGCAGGCGGAAUGAUAAGU